rnacentral:rRNA from 1 species
AUUGAACGCUGGCGGCAGGCCUAACACAUGCAAGUCGAACGGUAACAGGAAGACGCUUGCUUCUUUGCUGACGAGUGGCGGACGGGUGAGUAAUGUCUGGGAAACUGCCUGAUGGAGGGGGAUAACUACUGGAAACGGUAGCUAAUACCGCAUAACGUCGCAAGGCCAAAGAGGGGGACCUUCGGGCCUCUUGCCAUCGGAUGUGCCCAGAUGGGAUUAGCUAGUAGGUGGGGUAACGGCUCACCUAGGCGACGAUCCCUAGCUGGUCUGAGAGGAUGACCAGCCACACUGGAACUGAGACACGGUCCAGACUCCUACGGGAGGCAGCAGUGGGGAAUAUUGCACAAUGGGCGCAAGCCUGAUGCAGCCAUGCCGCGUGUAUGAAGAAGGCCUUCGGGUUGUAAAGUACUUUCAGCGGGGAGGAAGGGAGUAAAGUUAAUACCUUUGCUCAUUGACGUUACCCGCAGAAGAAGCACCGGCUAACUCCGUG